GGAUUAAUUUACUGGUCGUGCUAUUGUACGUACUGGUUUUAUUGAUUCCUCCCUUCUGACGAACUAUGAUGUCAUUAAUUUGGUGUCAUAGGAAAUCAGGACUGUUACUUUGAAAAAAUUAGAGUGUUUAAAACAGGCGUUUGCUUGAAUACAUUAGCAUGGAAUAACGGAAUAGGACUU
rnacentral:rRNA from 1 species